GGCUCCAUAUAGUGGUUAGCACAUCUGCUUUACACGCAGGAAGUACUGGGUUCAUGCCCCAGUUGGAGCCA
rnacentral:tRNA from 1 species